AUCCAGCUGACGAGUUCUAAACAGGACGAAACACGCGUCCUGGAU
rnacentral:hammerhead_ribozyme from 1 species